rnacentral:pre_miRNA from 1 species
AAUGUACUCCCUUCGUUCGGAAUUACUUGUCUCGGAAAUGGAUGUAUCUAGAACUAAAAUACGUCUAGAUACAUUCAUUUUUGCGACAAGUAAUUCCGAACGAAGGGAGUAGAUG